rnacentral:piRNA from 1 species
UUCUUACUAUGGUUUUUGAUG